rnacentral:lncRNA from 1 species
UUCAAUUGAAGAGGAUUGCAAUUAGGUGAACUUAUUCAUACUAAGUUGUACACUUGAGUUGAUAGCCUUUCUAUGUGUUUCAUGCGUUGAACAUGUCAUGAUUGACUAGCUUUCUAGGGCUUGAUUACAUGUUUGAUAGGAUUAGUCUAUGUGCUUUCACUUAGAUUAAUUAGCAUUGAAAAGUAAAAUAUGGGAAAUCGUUUGCUUUCGAAUGUUUCACAUGAUCAACUCUUUUCACAUGACUUGGAAGAACAAUGUAGGGUUAAUUCGAAUUCAAUGAUAAACUAGGGUUUAAUCUUUGUUUCUUAUGUUUCAUUCUUGUACAUGUGUGUACCCUCAAUCCCCGGAAUAGA